GUGCGUCUUCAGGGCGGGGCGAAAUUCCCCACCGGCGGUAUGCCGGCAGCGCGAGAGCGUGAGCCGGUGAGCCCGCGAGCGCCCGCUUCGUUCAGCUUUCAGCGUAUCGAAAGCGCAGUGGGGUCAGCAGAUCUGGUGAGAAGCCAGGGCCGACGGUUAGAGUCCGGAUGGAAGAAGAUGUGC
rnacentral:ncRNA from 2 species